rnacentral:rRNA from 1 species
AGCCCAGACUCCUACGGGAGGCAGCAGUGGGGAAUAUUGCACAAUGGGGGAAACCCUGAUGCAGCGACGCCGCGUGAGUGAAGAAGUAAUUAGUUAUGUAAAGCUCUAUCAGCAGGGAAGAAAAUGACGGUAACUGAGUAAGAAGCCCCGGCUAACUACGUGCCAGCAGCCGCGGUAAUACGUAGGGGGCAAGCGUUAUCCGGAUUUACUGGGUGUAAAGGGAGCGUAGACGGCAGUGCAAGUCUGGAGUGAAAGGCGGGGGCUCAACCCCCGGACUGCUCUGGAAACUGUACGGCUGGAGUGCAGGAGAGGUAAGUGGAAUUCCUAGUGUAGCGGUGAAAUGCGUAGAUAUUAGGAGGAACACCAGUGGCGCUGGCGGCUUACUGGCCUGUCACUGACGUUGAGGCUCGCAAGCGUGGGGAGCAAACAGGAUUAGAUACCCCCGUAAC